rnacentral:lncRNA from 1 species
AAGAACGAUUCCUUUCAUUCAAAAAGACUGAUUUCUGUCAUUCAUUUAUAUUCAUCUUUCUAAGAGUUUUUGUUCAAUACUUUCUCUUUCAAGAAAAGUUCAUUGACCAAAAACUUGUGCUAUUCUUUUUCUUCAUUCACUUCUUUCUCUUGUCAAAAUAUUCAAAGGACUAACCGCCUGAGAUAUCUUCUGUUUCUUGACAAAAUAUUUCAAAGGACUAACCGCCUG